GCCAACGUGGUGUAGUGGCAGAGCACGCGUUCCCGGUAUGAAUGAAACGUGGGUUUGAAUCCCGCCUGAGGCC